GCGAGUGUGGCGGAAUGGCAGACGCGCUGGACUUAGGAUCCAGUGCCUCACGGCGUGAGGGUUCAAGUCCCUCCACUCGCA
rnacentral:tRNA from 1 species